rnacentral:rRNA from 1 species
GACGAACGCUGGCGGCGUGCCUAACACAUGCAAGUCGAGCGGAGCGGCGGACGGGUGAGUAAUGCCUAGGAAUCUGCCUGGUAGUGGGGGAUAACGUCAGGAAACGGGCGCUAAUACCGCAUACUAUCAGAUGAGCCUAGGACGGAUUAGCUAGUUGGUGGGGUAAAGGCCUACCAAGGCGACGAUCCGUAACUGGUCUGAGAGGAUGAUCAGUCACACUGGAACUGAGACACGGUCCAGACUCCUCCGGGGGGCAGCAGUGUGGAAUAUUGGACAAUGGGCGAAAGCCUGCUCCGGCCAUGCCGCGUGUGUGAAGAAGGUCUUCGGAUUGUAAAGCAUUUUAAGUUGGGAGGCGUUACCAACAGAAUAAGCACCGGCUAACUUCGUGCCAGCAGCCGCGGUAAUAC